GUGGGGAAUCUUGCGCAAUGGGCGAAAGCCUGACGCAGCCAUGCCGCGUGAAUGAUGAAGGUCUUAGGAUUGUAAAAUUCUUUCACCGGGGACGAUAAUGACGGUACCCGGAGAAGAAGCUCCGGCUAACUUCGUGCCAGCAGCCGCGGUAAUACGAAGGGGGCUAGCGUUGCUCGGAAUUACUGGGCGUAAAGGGCGCGUAGGCGGACAGCUUAGUCAGAGGUGAAAGCCCAGGGCUCAACCUUGGAAUUGCCUUUGAUACUGGCUGUCUUGAGUACGGGAGAGGUGAGUGGAACUCCGAGUGUAGAGGUGAAAUUCGUAGAUAUUCGGAAGAACACCAGUGGCGAAGGCGACUCACUGGCCCGUUACUGACGCUGAGGCGCGAAAGCGUGGGGAGCAAACAGGAUUAGAAACCCGUGUAGUCC
rnacentral:rRNA from 1 species